UAUACAAUUAAUGCCUGAUCUUUUAAAACUGGAACGAUACAGAGAAGAUUAGCAUGGCCCCUGCGCAAGGAUAACACGCAAAAUCGUGUUUU
rnacentral:snRNA from 1 species